GACGAACGCUGGCGGCGUGCUUAACACAUGCAAGUCGUGCGGUAAGGCCCUUUCGGGGGUACACGAGCGGCGGACGGGUGAGUAACACGUGAGCAACCUGCCCUUCACUUUGGGAUAACUGCCGGAAACGGUGGCUAAUACCGGAUAUGACUUCCUCACGCAUGUGGGGUGGUGGAGAGCCUUCGGGUGGUGGGGGAUGGGCUCGCGGCCUAUCCGCUUGUUGGUGGGGGGGUGGCCUACCAAGGCUUCGACGGGUAGCCGGCCUGGGAGGGUGACCGGCCACACUGGGACUGAGAGACGGCCCAGACUGCUACGGGAGGCAGCAGUGGGGAAUAUUGGACAAUGGGCGAGAGCCUGUUCCAGCAACGCCGCGUGAGGGAUGACGGCUUUCGGGUUGUAAACCUCUUUCGCCUGCGACGAAGCGAGAGUGACGGUAGCAGGUAAAGAAGCACCGGCCAACUACGUG
rnacentral:rRNA from 1 species